AUGUUCACUGUUAUAUUCAUGUGUCUGUGGCUUUCACUAGGUGACUCCAUGGCAGAUUCAAUAGAGCCACUUUUCACUCAUGAAUUUGUAGAUGAAGGUGAUGAUGUUACUCUGUCCUGCAAAUACGAAACAAGUAGUACAGGCCCCUACCUGCACUGGUACAGACAACAUCCAAAAUCUAAACCUGUGUUCCUUCUUUACACUGAUCUGUUUGGAGGAAAAAGUAAGCCCAUGCCACCACGUCUGGAUGCUGAAGUUAAUAAAACGAAUAAAGAAGUGGAUCUGAUUAUCUCCUCUGCUGCUGUAUCAGACUCUGCUCUUUACUACUGUGCUCUGAGGCCCACAGUGACAGGAAAUCCAGCUGCACUGUACAAAAACCUCUACACUGGUAUGUUUAACUAAAGACUGCCAACAGGGGGAGACAGUGGCUUGGAGGUUGGCUUGUUUGCCUUGCACUUUUGAGAUUAAGGGUUCUGAAUCUCACCUCCACUGUGUGUGCUGAAUUUGUUUCCACUAUGCUUCAGAUGUUUCCUCCACCAACCUAAA